rnacentral:rRNA from 1 species
GACGAACGCUGGCGGCGUGCCUAAUACAUGCAAGUAGAACGCUGAAGGAGGAGCUUGCUUCUCUGGAUGAGUUGCGAACGGGUGAGUAACGCGUAGGUAACCUGCCUGGUAGCGGGGGAUAACUAUUGGAAACGAUAGCUAAUACCGCAUAAGAGUAGAUGUUGCAUGACAUUUGCUUAAAAGGUGCAAUUGCAUCACUACCAGAUGGACCUGCGUUGUAUUAGCUAGUUGGUGGGGUAACGGCUCACCAAGGCGACGAUACAUAGCCGACCUGAGAGGGUGAUCGGCCACACUGGGAGUGAGACACGGCCCAGACUCCUACGGGAGGCAGCAGUAGGGAAUCUUCGGCAAUGGACGGAAGUCUGACCGAGCAACGCCGCGUGAGUGAAGAAGGUUGUCGGAUCGUAAAGCUCUGUUGUAAGAGAAGAACGAGUGUGAGAGUGGAAAGUUCACACUGUGACGGUAUCUUACCAGAAAGGGACGGCUAACUACGUG